rnacentral:rRNA from 1 species
UACGAAGGGGGCUAGCGUUGCUCGGAAUCACUGGGCGUAAAGCGCACGUAGGCGGAUCUUUUAAGUCAGGGGUGAAAUCCCAAGGCUCAACCUUGGAACUGCCUUUGAUACUGGGGGAUCUCGAGUCCGGAAGAGGUUGGUGGAACUGCGAGUGUAGAGGUGAAAUUCGUAGAUAUUCGCAAGAACACCAGUGGCGAAGGCGGCCAACUGGUCCGGAACUGACGCUGAGGUGCGAAAGCGUGGGGAGCAAACAGGG